GGAAUCUUCGGCAAUGGGGGCAACCCUGAUCCAGCCAUGCCGCGUGAGUGUUAAGGUCUUCGGAUUGUAAAGCUCUUUUGUGUGGGAAAAUGAUGAUGGUACCACAAGAAUAAGCACCGGCUAACUUCGUGCCAGCAGCCGCGGUAAUACGAAGGGUGCAAGCGUUGUUCGGAAUUACUGGGCGUAAAGGGCGUGUAGGCGGACAGAUUAGUUGGAAGUGAAAUCCCGGAGCUUAACUCCGGAACUGCUUUCAAAACGGUUUGUCUAGAGUGUAGUAGGGGACAAUGGAAUACCCAGUGAAGAGGUAAAAUUCGUAGAGAUUGGGUAGAACACCAGAGGCGAAGGCGAUUGUCUGGACUAUUACUGACGCUGAGGCGCGAAAGCGUGGGGAUCAAACA
rnacentral:rRNA from 1 species